rfam:Folsomia candida strain VT population Fcan01_Sc003, whole genome shotgun sequence.
GUCAGUGUGGCCGAGUGGUCUAAGGCGCCAGACUCAAGAAAAAUCUUGCCAUACACAGUAUGGUCUUGUAGAAUUCUGGUCCUCACUGAGGGCGCGAGUUCGAAUCUCGCCGCUGACA